CCUACGGGAGGCAGCAGUGAGGAAUAUUGGUCAAUGGACGCAAGUCUGAACCAGCCAUGCCGCGUGCAGGAAGACGGCUCUAUGAGUUGUAAACUGCUUUUGUACGGGGGCAAACGCUGAUACGCGUAUCUGUCUGAAAGUAUCUUACGACUAAGGAUCGGCUAACUCCGUGCCAGCAGCCGCGGUAAUCCGGAAGGUCCGAUCGUUAUCCGGAUUUAUUGGGUUUAAAUGGAGCUUAGGCCGGCUUUUAAGUCAGCUGUGAAAGUCCGGGGCUCAAACGGGGAAUUGCAGUUGAAACUGGAGGCCUUGAGUGCAAACAGGGAUGCCGGAAUUCAUGGUGUAGCGGUGAAAUGCUUAGAUAUCAUGAAGAACUCCGAUCGCGAAGGCAAGUGGCCGGGGUGCAACUGACGCUGAGGCUCGAAAGUGCGGGUAUCAAACAGGAUUAGAUACCCCAGUAGUC
rnacentral:rRNA from 1 species